GACGAACCGUGCGAACGUUAUUCGGAAUCAUUGGGCUUAAAGGGCGCGUAGGCGGCGGCGUAAGUUGGAAGUGAAAUCCCAUCGGCUCAACCGUGGAAUCGCUCCCAGUACUGCGUCGCUCGAGGGGGAUAGGGGUCUGCGGAACUACCGGUGGAGCGGUGAAAUGUGUUGAUAUCGGUGGGAACGCCAGUGGCGAAAGCGGCAGACUUGACCCUUCCUGACGCUGAGUGCGCGAAAGCUAGGGGAGCAAACGGG
rnacentral:rRNA from 1 species